CCUACGGGAGGCAGCAGUGGGGAAUUUUGGACAAUGGGGGAAACCCUGAUCCAGCCAUUCCGCGUGAGUGAAGAAGGCCUUCGGGUUGUAAAGCUCUUUCGGCAGGAACGAAACGGCGGACUCUAACAUAGUCUGUCAAUGACGGUACCUGAAGAAGAAGCACCGGCUAACUACGUGCCAGCAGCCGCGGUAAUACGUAGGGUGCGAGCGUUAAUCGGAAUUACUGGGCGUAAAGCGUGCGCAGGCGACUUUGUAAGACGGAGGUGAAAUCCCUGGGCUUAACCUAGGAACUGCGUUCGUGACUGCAAAGCGAGAGGGCGGCAGAGGGGGGUGGAAUUCCUGGGGUAGCAGUGAAAUGCGUAGAGAUCAGGAGGAACACCGAUGGCGAAGGCAGCCCCCGGGGUUGGCACUGACGCUCAUGCACAAAAGCGGGGGGAGCGAACGGGAUUAGAUACCCCUGUAGU
rnacentral:rRNA from 1 species